GAAGCGGCAACAGCUCAAAUUUGAAAUCUGGCGCAAGCCCGAGUUGUAAUUUGUAGAGGAUGCUUCUGGGUAGCGACCGAUCUAAGUUCCUUGGAACAGGACGUCAUAGAGGGUGAGAAUCCCGUAUGUGACCGGCCCGCACCCUUUACGUAGCUCCUUCGACGAGUCGAGUUGUUUGGGAAUGCAGCUCUAAAUGGGAGGUAAAUUUCUUCUAAAGCUAAAUACCGGCCAGAGACCGAUAGCGCACAAGUAGAGUGAUCGAAAGAUGAAAAGUACUUUGGAAAGAGAGUUAAAAAGCACGUGAAAUUGUUGAAAGGGAAGCGCCUGCAACCAGACUUCGUGGCAGUGUUCCGCCGGUCUUCUGACCGGUUUAUUCUCUGUCGCGAGGCCAUCAUCGUCUAGGCCCGCCGGAUAAGACCUUAGGAAUGUAGCUCACCUUCGGGGGAGUGUUAUAGCCUAUGGUGAUGCGGCGAGGCUUGGGCGAGGUCCGCGCUUCGGCAAGGAUGAUGGCGUAAUGGUUGUCGGCGGCCCGUCUUGAAACACGGACCAAGGAGUCUAACAUCUAUGCGAGUGUUCGGGUGUCAAACCCCUACGCGUAAUGAAAGUGAACGGAGGUGGGAACCGCAAGGUGCACCAUCGACCGAUCCUGAUGUCCUCGGAUGGAUUUGAGUAAGAGCAUAGCUGUUGGGACCCGAAAGAUGGUGAACUAUGCCUGAAUAGGGUGAAGCCAGAGGAAACUCUGGUGGA
rnacentral:rRNA from 1 species